rnacentral:rRNA from 1 species
AUUGAACGCUGGCGGCGUGCCUUCACAUGCAAGUCGAACGGCAGCACGGGAGCAAUCCUGGUGGCGAGUGGCGAACGGGUGAGUAAAGUAUCGGAACGUGCCCAGUCGUGGGGGAUAACGUAGCGAAAGUUACGCUAAUACCGCAUACGAUCUAUGGAUGAAAGCGGGGGAUCGCAAGACCUCGCGCGAUUGGAGCGGCCGAUAUCAGAUUAGGUAGUUGGUGGGGUAAAGGCUCACCAAGCCGACGAUCUGUAGCUGGUCUGAGAGGACGACCAGCCACACUGGGACUGUGACACGGCCCAGACGCCUACGGGAGGCAGCAGUGGGGAAUUUUGGACAAUGGGCGAAAGCCUGAUCCAGCCAUGCCGCGUGCAGGAUGAAGGCCUUCGGGUUGUAAACUGCUUUUGUACGGAACGAAAAGGUUUGGCCUAAUAAGCUGAGCUCAUGACGGUACCGUAAGAAUAAGCACCGGCUAACUACGUGCCAGCCGCCGCCGUAA